UGUUAUGAAGUGUUGUUGAUUAUUCCUCCAUGCUGCAUAUCCUGUUGUCAUGACGCCUGGGGGUCCACCCACUUCAAAGCAGCUGAUUGUACACUAACUAGCAACACAAAUCAGGACUUUUUAUUAAAGUAAAAGUGUUUUAGUACUCUUUUAGUACACUUUCUUGUGUUUCCUGAUUUCUUAGAUGGGACUGACGGAAGCACUUUUUAAAUUAUUAUUGUUAUUAUUAUAUGGUGGGUUUUAUCAUUAUUAUUGUUAUUAUUAUACGGUGUUUUUUUCUUCAUGUUUUUUUUUAAGAAAAUAUAAAUUCUUAUAGCUACUAAACCGAACCCAGGUCUUUCUGAAUGCAACACUACUGUAUUAACUAGCACACUCAGCCUUGGAAGCACACACCAUAAUUACUGUAACUACACCCCAUACAUACUGUAACUACACCAUACAUAAUACACACCAUAAUUACUGUAACUACACCCCAUACAUACUGUAACUACACCAUACAUACUACACCCCAUACAUACUGUAACUACACCCCAUACAUACUGUAACUACACACCAUACAUACUGUAACUACACCAUACAUACUGUAACUACACCCCAUACAUACUGUAACUACACCAUACAUACUACACACCAUAAUUACUGUAACUACACCCCAUACAUACUGUAACUACACACCAUGCAUACUGUAACUGCACCCCAUGCAUACUGUAACUGCACCCCAUGCACACUGUAACUGCACACCAUACAUAGUUGCAUACAUUUCUAUAUGUAUAGAUGCACACACACACGUACACACACGCACACACACACACACACUCUUCAUCAGGUAUCCACACUUCGUGUGGGUGGGUUACAUGUACAAUUAUAAAACUCUGCCGUGUCCUUUAUAGAACCUGGUGGGUGUGACACUCCUGAGACCAGGAGAAAUAUCAGGCUUGUAACUUGACUGGUGAAGGCACUGCCUCCCUUAUUCUGUCAAAACAGCCCCCUUUGCUUCGUAUCUUUCUCCAGUCCGGCUCAGUGUGCCCCUAUAACACUGGUACCAACCCUCACCACCAAGAACCUGUCUUUUACUCUGGCUGUGUUUUUGAUUUGUUUGUGUAGUGAUGACUUUGUGUCGUGACGUUCCCCUGUCUCUUUGUGUAAUUUGCUAUUUUGAUUUAAUAUGGCAAAUUUCAAGAAUACACUAUUUUUAAAAUGUAUCCUUUUCUACACCAAGUUUGUUUUUUAAAUGUUGUAAAAGUCUCAGCAUUUGUUAAGGCGCAAGUACCACCAGCCUGCUAACUGCAACUUGAGUGCUUUUCUGUUUGAUUUGUGAAACAUUUUGUUGAAGAGAGAAACAUUGGUUGGAAUUUAAAAGCGAGGCAUACCUUCCAUCUGGAAUGAUGUUGAGCUGCUUGCAAUCAUACAUUCCCCUGCUCCAUGCACUUCCCAGCUACCCCGAAACAACACUUUUAAACAGGAAAUAUCACAGAUAACCAUCUUACCUAAAUCGCUGUGUUAUCCUUCCACCUUUCCCACCACUGGCAGUUAAAACUGUUAAAAAUGGAAUUUUGUGAUAUGUCCGGCUAAAGAGCCUCCAUCUCUCGCGCUCCAAUCUGAAAGUCAUAACGCCGUUUAUUACAUUGUAUAGUUUUAUGAGGCUUGUGUGUCUUAAUGUUGUGUUUUACUGCGAAGGGAGGAUGGAAAGGAAAGCAGCAGGAUUCCUGUGCUACAGUAACCAUUUGUUUUAGUCUGGCAGAAUGCUGCCAUCCUGUUUAGUAUAUUGGAACUGUAGAAGUGUGAUAGUUCAAUUACAUAUUUUUUAUUCGUGGACGUUCGAAAAACAAACAUGAAAACGUGCAAACCUAGAAAACGUUAAUUUCUGUAAAGUGUUGUUGAGAUGAGAUGGCACAAUCCGAAAACUAAAUCAAGCAUUUUAAAAACCUUAAACGUAAUAUUAAUGUAAUGUUCAAUCGUAUUUAAUAAAGUGUAGUGUGAUUUUCGACAUUUGCUUUCAUCGCAGAUGUUAGUUGUAUACUUGAAAGUAAUUGAAAUGAAUGAGAAUCUCAACCUCACAGUCACACAAAGAUCCUACAACUAAUUCUGGAUUAUUAAUUACUGUUAUGUUUUAUUAUUAAUCAAUCUGUGAAAGACGGAAUGCCUUUUUCAGUCUCUCUAAUCGUUAGCUCAAUCUUUACAACACAUCAGGCCUAUAUUGGGAGUAGUAUAAAAACUAUAGCCCCAAAAAGUAUAGUGUAUAUAUUUUAGUAUUUGAAUUUGAAUUCUGUAAUGAAAAUCACUCUUGUCUUGCUACAGUCAGAUAUAUCUGGACUAGGGGUUGUAGAGUGUCUUGCUACAGUCAGAUAUAUCUGGACUAGGGGUUGUAGAGUGUCUUGCUACAGUCAGAUAUAUCUGGACUAGGGGUUGUAGAGUGUCUUGCUACAGUCAGAUAUAUCUGGAUUAGGGGUUGCAGAGUGUCUUGCUACAGUCAGAUAUAUCUGGAUUAGGGGUUGUAGAAUGUCUUGCUACAGUCAGAUAUAUCUGGACUAGGGGUUUGAAGGGUAAAUGAGGGGCUGUACUGUAGAGGCAGAGAGGAGAGAGCCUUUCCAAGGUUAGUGUCCCCACCCCCGCACUGCAGAUAGCAGCCUUUAACAGAUAAUGUAGGAAUUAAUUUGCCUCAUCGCCCAGAGAAACACAACAGAACAUUCAAAGUAAAUAAACGAAAAAGAUCACCUUGGAUCCGAAGAAGGUGAAUAGAUUUCAGGAUGGGGCGGAAUGAUAUAAAAACAAUUGAAUAGCAAAGGUAUGGAGAAACAAUUAGAAGGAAAGCUAAUCAAACUCUCAAUGUCCUUUUGGAGGAAGCUGUUGGCUUGGAAUGGGGUGCCCUUGCAUGUUGCAAUAACAGUGGAGCAGCAGCAUCAUUCCCAGGUGGAGGUGUGUCUCUUCUUUUUUAAGAACCCUUUCUCAAGGAAAUGGUAGACGUCUCUCUCUCUCGCUCUUCUUUCAAAGUGUUUCAAAUGAUGUUUGUUAUUUCUUCCUCCCCUGGUUCCCAACACUGGGGAGGCCUGUAAUUGGCCACGAUGUUUCAUAUCAAUACAGUACACUGUAAAACAAUGUGAGAUUCCAGAUGUGUUUGAACUGGUUUAAAAAAAAAUCUGUUUGUUUCUUAACGCCUGUUUUCCCCCAACUGUAUCCCAAUGUAAAGGAUGCAAGAUGUCUCAUCAGAAAUGAUGCCAUCUGCCAAUAGGUUUAAAGCUUUUUAGGAUGGUCUAAUUUGUCUGCCAUCUCUGUCUUUUCCUCUCUCCCUACUUUCCUAUUCUCUCCUUCACAAGGUGAUUACUGCUUCACCACAAUGCAUAGUGACGCAAAGGUCCUUCUCUUUCUGUCUCUCUCUCGCUGGUUUUGGAUUGGGGACGUGUCUAUUGCUUCGGGACGUUCUUCCCUACUUUCUGCUUGACUUAGAAGGGCCCUGGUCAAAAGUAGUGC
rnacentral:lncRNA from 1 species